UACGAAGGGGGCUAGCGUUGUUCGGAAUCACUGGGCGUAAAGGGCGUGUAGGCGGUCAAGUAAGUGGAAUGUGAAAUGCCCCGGCUCACCCGGGGACCUGCAUCCCAAACUGCUUGGCUUGAGUAUGGGAGAGGAUGAGGGAAUUCCUGGUGUAGCGGUGAAAUGCGUAGAUAGUCAGGAGGAACACCGGUGGCGAAAGCGGCUCACUGGACCACAACUGACGCUGGAUGCGCGAAAGCUAGGGGAGCAAACAGG
rnacentral:rRNA from 1 species